AAGAGCCUAAGAAAAGGGGCCAAUGGGCAAACACUCUUGCUCCUUCAGCAGUAAAAGGGUGGUGAUGACACACAGGACUUGAUUUAGGUUUUGAAAUGCUCCUUAACUUGGAGGAAAUCCUACUUGAAAGAAAGAACUUGAACAAUCCAGUCCGGAGCAGGUGUUGCCAGCAGAGGCAGGAGGCUGGGUUUUUUGAUUUCUUGUUUUUGUUUUGAGGCCAGCUGGACUAUGAUUUAAAAAUAAUAAAUAAAUUAAUUAAUUAUA